CGAAGGUGUGCUGUGAGGCAUGCUGGAGGUAUCAGAAGUGCGAAUGCUGACAUAAGUAACGAUAAAGCGGGUGAAAAGCCCGCUCGCCGGAAGACCAAGGGUUCCUGUCCAACGUUAAUCGGGGCAGGGUGAGUCGACCCCUAAGGCGAGGCCGAAAGGCGUAGUCGAUGGGAAACAGGUUAAUAUUCCUGUACUUGGUGUUACUGCGAAGGGGGGACGGAGAAGGCUAUGUUGGCCGGGCGACGGUUGUCCCGGUUUAAGCGUGUAGGCUGGUUUUCCAGGCAAAUCCGGAAAAUCAAGGCUGAGGCGUGAUGACGAGGCACUACGGUGCUGAAGCAACAAAUGCCCUGCUUCCAGGAAAAGCCUCUAAGCAUCAGGUAACAUCAAAUCGUACCCCAAACCGACACAGGUGGUCAGGUAGAGAAUACCAAGGCGCUUGAGAGAACUCGGGUGAAGGAACUAGGCAAAAUGGUGCCGUAACUUCGGGAGAAGGCACGCUGAUAUGUAGGUGAAGUCCCUUGCGGAUGGAGCUGAAAUCAGUCGAAGAUACCAGCUGGCUGCAACUGUUUAUUAAAAACACAGCACUGUGCAAACACGAAAGUGGACGUAUACGGUGUGACGCCUGCCCGGUGCCGGAAGGUUAAUUGAUGGGGUCAGCGCAAGCGAAGCUCUUGAUCGAAGCCCCGGUAAACGGCGGCCGUAACUAUAACGGUCCUAAGGUAGCGAAAUUCCUUGUCGGGUAAGUUCCGACCUGCACGAAUGGCGUAAUGAUGGCCAGGCUGUCUCCACCCGAGACUCAGUGAAAUUGAACUCGCUGUGAAGAUGCAGUGUACCCGCGGCAAGACGGAAAGACCCCGUGAACCUUUACUAUAGCUUGACACUGAACAUUGAGCCUUGAUGUGUAGGAUAGGUGGGAGGCUUUGAAGUGUGGACGCCAGUCUGCAUGGAGCCGGCCUUGAAAUACCACCCUUUAAUGUUUGAUGUUCUAACGUGGACCCGUGAUCCGGGUUGCGGACAGUGUCUGGUGGGUAGUUUGACUGGGGCGGUCUCCUCCUAAAGAGUAACGGAGGAGCACGAAGGUUGGCUAAUCCUGGUCGGACAUCAGGAGGUUAGUGCAAUGGCAUAAGCCAGCUUGACUGCGAGCGUGACGGCGCGAGCAGGUGCGAAAGCAGGUCAUAGUGAUCCGGUGGUUCUGAAUGGAAGGGCCAUCGCUCAACGGAUAAAAGGUACUCCGGGGAUAACAGGCUGAUACCGCCCAAGAGUUCAUAUCGACGGCGGUGUUUGGCACCUCGAUGUCGGCUCAUCACAUCCUGGGGCUGAAGUAGGUCCCAAGGGUAUGGCUGUUCGCCAUUUAAAGUGGUACGCGAGCUGGGUUUAGAACGUCGUGAGACAGUUCGGUCCCUAUCUGCCGUGGGCGCUGGAGAACUGAGGGGGGCUGCUCCUAGUACGAGAGGACCGGAGUGGACGCAUCACUGGUGUUCGGGUUGUCAUGCCAAUGGCACUGCCCGGUAGCUAAAUGCGGAAGAGAUAAGUGCUGAAAGCAUCUAAGCACGAAACUUGCCCCGAGAUGAGUUCUCCCUGACCCUUUAAGGGUCCUGAAGGAACGUUGAAGACGACGACGUUGAUAGGCCGGGUGUGUAAGCGCAGCGAUGCGUUGAGCUAACCGGUACUAAUGAACCGUGAGGCUUAACCUU
rnacentral:rRNA from 1 species